GUGCCAGCCGCCGCGGUAAUACAGAGGGUGCAAGCGUUAAUCGGAUUUACUGGGCGUAAAGCGUGCGUAGGCGGUUCAGUGUGUCGGUCGUGAAAUCCCCGGGCUCAACCUGGGAACUGCGGCCGAAACUGCUGAGCUAGAGUGUGGUAGAGGGUGGUGGAAUUCCGGGUGUAGCGGUGAAAUGCGUAGAUAUCCGGAGGAACAUCGAUGGCGAAGGCAGCUGCCUGGGCCACAACUGACGCUGAGGUACGAAAGCGUGGGGAGCAAACAGGAUUAGAUACCCUCGUAGUCC
rnacentral:rRNA from 1 species